GUCUGGGUUUCCUGGUUCAUGCCAUGACUACCGCAUACUAAAGCAAUCGCAAUUAUAUACAUGGUGAAAUGCCACAUGGAUGGCUAUUAGAAUAGCUAAUAGCGGCUAUCCUUGUCGACCAUGGCUUUUAACACCAGUACCAAAUCCUAACAGCAAUUCUGAAAUUGGUUUUAACAAAGCACAUCAAAGCACAAGGAGUGCAGUUGAGAGGACAUUUGGAGUUUAAAAAUGUGUUUUCGUGCAUUGGAUGUUGAAUGUCGAAUGUAAUAAAAAUAAAUAAAAUACUCAACUGUUGACGAUUCGAUUGCGGCUGAGCAGGGGUCGGAAGCCGAACAUAUUACCAGUUCGGAGGAAGACAUGGAGGAGGAAGCACC